rnacentral:rRNA from 1 species
AGAGUUUGAUUAUGGCUCAGGAUGAACGCUGGCGAUAUGCUUAACACAUGCAAGUCGAACGGAGUUCUUCGGAACUUAGUGGCGGACGGGUGAGUAACGCGUGAGAAUCUGGCAAAAGGUUCGGGACAACAGUUGGAAACGACUGCUAAUACCGGAUGUGCCUGUGGGUGAAAGAUUAAUCGCCUUUUGAUGAGCUCGCGUCUGAUUAGCUAGUAGGUGUGGUAAGAGCGCACCUAGGCGACGAUCAGUAGCUGGUCUGAGAGGAUGACCAGCCACACUGGGACUGAGACACGGCCCAGACUCCUACGGGAGGCAGCAGUGGGGAAUUUUCCGCAAUGGGCGAAAGCCUGACGGAGCAAUACCGCGUGAGGGAGGAAGGCUCUUGGGUUGUAAACCUCUUUUCUCAGGGAAUAAGAAAGUGAAGGUACCUGAGGAAUCAGCAUCGGCUAACUCCGUGCCAGCAGCCGCGGUAAUA